rnacentral:rRNA from 1 species
AGCGAACGCUGGCGGCAGGCCUAACACAUGCAAGUCGAACGAACCUUUCGGGGUUAGUGCCGGACGGGUGAGUAACACGUGGGAACGUGCCUUUAGGUUCGGAAUAACUCAGGGAAACUUGUGCUAAUACCGAAUGUGCCCUUCGGGGGAAAGAUUAAUCGCCUUUAGAGCGGCCCGCGUCUGAUUAGCUAGUUGGUUGAGGUAAUGGCUCACCAAGGCGACGAUCAGUAGCUGGUCUGAGAGGAUGAUCAGCCACAUUGGGACUGAGACACGGCCCAAACUCCUACGGGAGGCAGCAGUGGGGAAUCUUGCGCAAUGGGCGAAAGCCUGACGCAGCCAUGCCGCGUGAAUGAUGAAGGUCUUAGGAUUGUAAAAUUCUUUCACCGGGGACGAUAAUGACGGUACCCGGAGAAGAAGCCCCGGCUAACUUCGUG